rnacentral:misc_RNA from 1 species
UCGUAGGGCUUCGGCCCUGUCGAGAUAGAACCCUUGCCUUUUUGAGUACCUUUUCGUUUCCUCGGCGGGCUAGCCCGCCAAUGGGGACCCCAAAAAACACUUUGCAAUACCUGUAACAGUCUGAGAAACAAACAAAAAUUA